AGAAAAAAUAAAAGGAAUUCUAUCACUUUUUAUUUUCCAUUUAUUUAGUUUGUUUUUCUUACUGAAAUUGAAAUUAUUAACUAACAGAGCAAACACAAAUAAAGAAACAACUUUGCUGACCAUGAUAGAUUUUUAUCUAGUUGGAAGAGUCCUCUUAAUAUUCAUCUAGUCUUAUAUAAGUUUGGAUAUAUAGAAAUACAAACAGAAAAGAGAGGAUAGAGGAUAGGCUCAUUACAUAAAAAAAAUAUGGAAAUAGCCAUAAUACAUAACAAAAAAGAAAAAAAAGAGCGGGAGAGCCAAAUGAAUCGAAAGAUUCAUGUUUGGUUUGGGAAGAGAUCAUAAAAAUUGUAAACUUAAUAGCAAGAUAAUUCAAUUUAUUAGGUUUUGAACUUCUACUUUUGUUUAGAAUUUAGGCAUUAUUUUUCCCUUGCUU
rnacentral:lncRNA from 7 species